UACGGAGGGUGCAAGCGUUAAUCGGAAUUACUGGGCGUAAAGCGCACGCAGGCGGUUGAUUAAGUUAGAUGUGAAAUCCCCGGGCUUAACCUGGGAAUGGCAUCUAAGACUGGUCAGCUAGAGUCUUGUAGAGGGGGGUAGAAUUCCAUGUGUAGCGGUGAAAUGCGUAGAGAUGUGGAGGAAUACCGGUGGCGAAGGCGGCCCCCUGGACAAAGACUGACGCUCAGGUGCGAAAGCGUGGGGAGCAAACAGG
rnacentral:rRNA from 1 species